rnacentral:lncRNA from 1 species
CAGGCCGUGGGAGAUGAAAAAGCGCAGCGGACAAACUCCAGCAAAUCUCCACCGUUUCCUUGCUGAAGAGGUUGCCAUGGAAGUGGAUGAAAUCUGUGGUUAGGCAUUUGAUCUUUGCUUGUGGUCUCUUUUCGGUGAUAGCAGGAAUGUGGGGACAACGCUGGUCAAAUGAGGAGUCAAAAUAUCUAGACUGUCGGUCACCAUUAGCACCUAACAGGAUUGGGUCUGGCAUCUGGAUUGCUAGCAGGAAGAGGAAGCAGAUUUCCCCAACGCUGAGAGGUCUGUUUGUCAUCUUAGGAAGGAAGAUGCCUUAUGCUGAGUUGAAAGUAUUGUUCCCCUCCCAACCCUGUUUGCAGAUUUUAAGGAUUGAAUUUGGAGACGCUCUACACUAUCUAUUUUGGACUAUUUUUUUUUAAUGUUUUAUCCUUUGGCUCCAUAUUUCUAAUCAUGAUUUACUCCCAUCCUAUGUGUGACAUUACAAUGUCAAGGCAGUUUUAAGCCCCAAUGUUUUUAAAUGAAAUGCUGCUUUGAAGAAAGUUGUGAUGUGAAGGGGUGAUGGUGAAGAACAGAGCAAUGAGGAAAAUUUCUCUUCUCAUCAACUUUCCAGGCUCCAAAGUAGCAUCUAAAAAAUCUGUUGAGUUAAUGAAUUCCUUCCCGCCUUUCAAAAUACUGCAUUUCUGAUUGAUUCAAACUGGUUGCAGAAGUUUGGUCUAACUGUAUCAUUGUUUGGUCAAGUUUGGUUGAACUUUAUCAUUGGCUUACAUGGAUCAUCCACCAAUUAUGCAACGUGGGAGAGAGCUCAUAUUUGUAAUACAGCCAUGAUGUUGUGUAACUACAAACAUUUUUGGAUGUUGUUUUGCCUCUUCCUGACCCUGCUUACAUUUAUAAGGUGAUGCAUAGUUGAUCCGUCCAUGACAAAAUGCAAAAGUCAUUUCUGACCAGCGGCGGCCACUGGCUUUAAGGGCAGGUGUUCGUAACCCGUGGAAAGGGCACAAUUGCUGUUCACGGGGCCUCCAGGCCUCCAUACUGUCACAGCAGGUUGCUGUGUAUCAUAUGUUACGUGUAUCAUAUGGGAAAGUAUAUACAGAAAUGUGUAUAGAAC